rnacentral:rRNA from 1 species
UCCUACGGGGCGCAGCAGUGGGGAAUAUUGCACAAUGGGCGGAAGCCUGAACCAGCCAAGUCGCGUGAGGGAAUAAGGCCCUACGGGUCGUAAACCUCUUUUGCCGGGGAGCAAGGGCCGGGACGCGUCCCGGCCCGGAGAGUACCCGGAGAAAAAGCAUCGGCUAACUCCGUGCCAGCAGCCGCGGUAAUACGGAGGAUGCGAGCGUUAUCCGGAUUUAUUGGGUUUAAAGGGGGCGUAGGCGGGGUUUUAAGUCAGCGGUAAAAAUUCGGGGCUCAAACCCGUCCGGCCGUGGAAACUGGGGG